AAACAGAGCCUAAUAAAUCUUUCAGUCAUUUCUAACCCCACAAUCCCACAUGCGUAUUACCCUUUAGGGCUUUAGUCCCGGGUGUAUAAAAUGUCUGGCUCCGCCUCUGGUGACAUCAUGAAAUAUUAAACCUUCAUCCUGAUGAUGAACACUCACAGCUGUCUUGUGCGUCACUUUCUCCUGUAUUUCAUAUAUUUAUUAAACCAACAACACUCACUGACGUCUCUGCGCUGUUUGAAAAACUUUAGUUCAUUAUACAAAGUUUUAUACUUUCAGCUCUCGCUGAGCCAUAAAUGACAAAAACAACUCAGAUGAGGCCCAGAUGUGUGUCAUCUGGUUUUCAUACACAAGGUGUUGGAAUUUGUUACUAUGAGACAUAAAAAAGCGUGAACAGAGCAAAGAGUGUUUUCACUCUUUGAAUUAUACUGUUCCUGCAGGUAAAACCACAGCAGCUUCCUUUAGACUGGAGUUAGUGUGAAGCUGAUGAGCUUCUCACUGCUCUGUGUUCUGGUUUGGUUAAUAAUCGUCUUCAUGCUGUGAGAACAUGUUUGCUUUGAGCUCUGUGCUGAAGAGUCUCAGUGUGCACUGGAAGAAGAUGCAGCUUUGUGCUCGUCCACCUGCCUUUUUCUCUGAAACUGAACCCAGUUCUUUGUGCUCACUCUGAGUUUCACAGCAGAGAAAAAAAACUGUGAAAAGAUGUCUAAUAAUAUCACAGUCCUGUUGCAGUUGUACCUGCAGUAAUUUUAAUGUGUUUAUUGCACAGAGACUGAUUCAGCUGUGAUCUACUCAGCAGUGAGAACUGAAGACGUCAGUCAUGGACAAACAACCAUCAGAACAAGGAGGCCCAGACUUUAAACCAGAGCCAGACGUCGUCUACUCUUCACUGAAGUAGUCCACCAGUCCAACCACUGACGUCCAGCUGCUGGUCUCUAACUGGUCCCCCCAGCACCUCAGACCAGAGGACAUCCACAUGUUCAAGAUUUUUAUAUGUUUUAUGUCUUUUUAUCACUGAAUUAGACUCUGAUGACCCAGAACUACUUACUGGGAGUCAGUUCAUUGACUUGAUGUUUGUUGGCUGUUGUUCCCACAGCAGUUUCUCUGCAGGAUUAAUAAACUUUUGGUCUCAGA